rnacentral:rRNA from 1 species
GAUGAACGCUGGCGGCGUGCUUAACACAUGCAAGUCGAACGGAAAGGCCAUGCUUUUGUGGGGUGCACGAGUGGCGAACGGGUGAGUAAAACGUGAGUAACAUGCACUUGACUUUGGGAUAAAUUCAGGAAAAUGGGGCUCAUAUAGGAUAGGAGAUACUGCUGCAUGGUGGGGGUUGGAAAGAUUCGGCCGUUGUGGCUGGACUAGCGGCUUAUCAGCUUGUUGGUGGAGUAGUGGAUUUCAAAGGCUGUGACGGGUAGCCGGCCUGAGAGGGUGACCGGCCACAUGAGGACUGCGAGACGGCCCAGUCGCCUACGGGACGCAGCAGGCGAGAGUAUUGCGCAACAAGCGGAAGCCUGAUGCGGCAGCGCCGCGUGCGUGAUGACGUCCUACGAGUUAUAAACCACUGUCGCCGUAGACGUGGCCGGAGUGACGGUAACUGGUAAAGAAGCACCGGCUAACUACGUG